rnacentral:rRNA from 1 species
CGAACGAAGGCUUCGGCCUUAGUGGCGCACGGGUGCGUGAACGCGUGGGAAUCUGCCCUUAGGUUCGGAAUAACAGUUAGAAAUGACUGCUAAUACCGGAUGAUGACGUAAGUCCAAAGAUUUAUCGCCUGAGGAUGAGCCCGCGUAGGAUUAGCUAGUUGGUGUGGUAAAGGCGCACCAAGGCGACGAUCCUUAGCUGGUCUGAGAGGAUGAUCAGCCACACUGGGACUGAGACACGGCCCAGACUCCUACGGGAGGCAGCAGUGGGGAAUAUUGGACAAUGGGCGCAAGCCUGAUCCAGCAAUGCCGCGUGAGUGAUGAAGGCCUUAGGGUUGUAAAGCUCUUUUACCCGUGAUGAUAAUGACAGUAGCGGGAGAAUAAGCCCCGGCUAACUCCGUGCCAGCAGCCGCGGUAAUACGGAGGGGGCUAGCGUUGUUCGGAAUUACUGGGCGUAAAGCGCACGUAGGCGGCUUUGUAAGUUAGAGGUGAAAGCCUGGAGCUCAACUCCAGAACUGCCUUUAAGACUGCAUCGCUUGAAUCCAGGAGAGGUGAGUGGAAUUCCGAGUGUAGAGGUGAAAUUCGUAGAUAUUCGGAAGAACACCAGUGGCGAAGGCGGCUCACUGGACUGGUAUUAG